GAAGCGCUCCCCAGAGAGUUAAAAGGAUGAGAGUCAGAAAGGUUCCUCCCAGAAAGCACGAGUUGUGCUGGGCUGGCAGCAGCGGUUUGGGGGAUGGUGCUGGGUGUGGUAGCAUCCCUUGGGGGCUUGGAAAGGGCUUUGUACAAGGACUCCUAGUCUCAAAAGUACGUGUGCAGGCAAGCAAGGACUGGAAGUGGGCUGACUGGUUGUAAACAAGAUGUGUAGGAUAAUGGCAGGGGAUGUCGGGUAUUGUUGGCAUCCACGAGGCCAAGGCGGUGAGCACUCUUUGGUCGAACUGCCAUUGUAAUUAACGAUCUGGCAGAAGAAAACUGCGCUGUUUGCAUGAGUGGACAAAGGCACUGUAAGAAAGGACUGAGGUUAUCUUGGUGAAAGGCUUGAAACUUGCUAAAAACAUGUUGCUUUCUUCUGAAUAAGCAUACUCAAUUUUUCAAACAUUGUUGUGCUGUACCACUUUUCUUACCUCGUCAUGAGCCCUUCACUGUCUAUCCCUGGCAUAGGCUCUCUUAUAUUUCCUCUUUACUCCACCAUUUCCAGAGUUUUACAUUCUACCAUCACAUGAUUAAUAUUGCUGAUAAAGUAGGUGCAGUUGUGCUUACCCAUCCCCUUUGGCUCUGGAAUAUGACCUCUCUUGUGUGAUCAGUUGCCAAGGUUUUUCAACUUACUAGAGUGUGAAAGCAACACUGAAUCCUGCUGUAUGAUCUGGCUUUAUCAAUGACUCCUGAAUGUUAUGCCAGUGACUUAAACUUAACAUCCAUACCAUUCGCAGCCAUCUUUUUCCUUCUGUUGUCUGCAUUCUUGACCUUGCUCACCAGUAAGGAGGUGACAAAUCUCUUUUUUAUGCCUAAUACCUCCAACUCUCUAACUGAACUAAGCCUCUUUGUUUUGUGAAUUCAGCUGACUGAAGGACAGAAGAGAAAUAUGCAUUGUGAACAACUCCAGAAACAAAGAGCAACGUGUCAGAAGGUUAUGGAUUUGUUCUGUGCAGUCACUUUUGAAAGGCUGAUUGCCAUUAGCACACAGAAGCAAUGACAGGAGGUGAAACUCCAGUGACCAAAUCACUGGGAAAACAUCAGGGAAGAACACCCUGAUCUGGAUUUGGGGCUGUGAAAGGAGGAGGAUGAGCCUCAUGACUAACUGUGAAACUCAUCAGACAAGUUAAUGGAAGAGGAUCUCUGGUUCACUACAGAUACCAUAUCAUCCUGAGAGGGGCAUUGUCCUUGCAUCCCAUAACGACUUCAGAAAUCCUUGGGAUUGUGCAAGACUUACUAUAAAACAUUUAGGGGAAGGACCAAGUAGGGAAAAGGAAGAUCAAGGUGUUUUGAGAAGGAACAAAUGUGAGAAGAUAAGGAAGAGGCAGCAAUAAGGGGCAGUUGUAAGGCUGCUGGAGAAUUUUCAACAUAAUUACAAGGUAUCCCAGGAUGGAAAUUCUGUUCCUUUCUGCCACUGGAAUAUAAUAGUCAAAGUGUCUGAGUACAGUUUAUCAUCUGGAGCUUAGAGCUUUUAUUUACUUCUAUAAGUUGUCAAAGCUGCAUUGUAGAACAUGCAUGUUUUAUGUAUGUCUAAAACACAGGGGUAGCAAUUCUUUCAUCAACAACUUUUUGCUUAAUUGGAAAAAGUUAUAUUUUAAAAACACAGAAGCAAUAGCUUCCUCAUGUGUUUGUUCCUUUUUUCCAUGUUUGAUUGCAUAAAUAGAAGCCUGAAUUUCAAGUGCCCUGACUCAGUCAGCAGAGGCAGGCUGCAAAUCUUACUGGGAUAGCACUGGGCUUUUUGACACUCAUUGCCUUCACUUCUGUACUUGAGCCAACAAUGCAACAUUCACUUACGGCAAGAAAAUUCAUGGUGAAGAAUGAUGUUUGUGGUAGCAGCAUAUUCUCUGCAGUUUUAGGUGCAAUGUCUUGUAAAAGGUAUAUUGCACCAGGAUUACCUCUGCUGUGGCUCUUUUAUUAGGGCUGAAUGCCAGACUGGAUUUCUGGCUGACCACCUUUCCCUUUGACACAGCCUGCUCCUUUUUUGCAUCCUGAUUUGCUUUGUCCUAACAGAAAAAUGAUGCCACUUUGGUUUAUGUAUUUUGAAAAUGGAUUGUAAUAAUAGAAGCUAUAGCUGUUUAAUGAACUGUUGGAAUAAAGUUUUGGAAUUCAGAUUGCUUUGGAAAGCUAGGACAGUUAAAAGCUGGAUUCAAAAAGCGUGUAUGAGCACAGCAGUUUUAGCUGUAUUUUAGGUUCUCUGCUGGAUACAGAAGAUAAUUGGACGGCAUGCAUUUGGAAAGAUGUCUUUCUAAACCCAAGUUUAAAAUCAAAGUUUUCAAAGCCAAAUGUCUUUGAAAUCACCGAAGCUAAUGAAUACUUAGCAUCU